GGGGAUGUAGCUCAGAUGGUAGAGCGAUCGCUUCGCAUGCGAUAGGUAAGGGGAUCGAUGCCCCUCAUCUCCA
rfam:Selaginella moellendorffii unplaced genomic scaffold SELMOscaffold_140, whole genome shotgun sequence.